GCAGUUUUGGAGAGAGGGGCGACCAUCCAUUUUCCCCUGGCAUUCAUGUCGCCCGUUCCCCAUUCCUCUUCGACAGGCGCUCCUCCCAGCGGCGGCGAUUUCUGGAGAGUGAGAAGGGAGAGAAACGCCAUUGGAGAUGCUUUGCCCAGAUUGCUCUUCACACUGUCAGAGUGCAAAUGGCCGAAGCUUCAGCUUGCAUCUUCAUGAUGCCGAUGAAACCUUUGUGGUUAUCUGUUGACUCACAAAUAGGUAGCCUUUUUCUGUACUGUUAGAAUCUGCAUGUUUUUUUUUCAUUUACAGGGGUGUUUCUGCAUGUUUUCCAAAAGAAGAGUACAGGAUCUUUUUUUCCCUCCAAAUAUCCACCUAUCGUUAUUUGUGUGGCUCUGCUAUGUUUUUCGCCUGCACCGUUUGAAUCGGUGGGGGAGAGAGACAGAAGGGAGCAAAGAAGAGGGUGAGAAGCUCCAAGACGAUGGCAUGUGACGUCGCCGCCGCCGAGAUCCGUGGCAUCGGGAGCAUCCCCGAAGACUUCACGUCCGCCGUUCCCACGGUGGUCGUCCAGCCCUGCGCGCCCGACGAGCACCGCGGCAUCCGCAUCUUCACCGAGCAGUCUGCGACCGACGAGCCUCCUGCUAUGGGCGCCGCUCCCGAGCUCUGCGCCGGACGCUCCGGUCAAGAAGCUUGCAAGCAAAGAUACAAAUUCUGACCAGUUGGAGUUGAACAACAAUAAUCAACGACAUGACUCAGGAAAUGACAGUAUGACUGACCAGUAGGAGCAAACAUCUCAUGGCAUUUGUUCAUAAGCUAUGCAAACUAUAGUUGAUCAUCAGACGGCAAAUGUUUGUGUCUUUUUUUAAACAGAAGCUUGCAAGCAAAGAUACAAAUUCUGACCAGUUGGAGUUGAACAACAAUAAUCAACGACAUGACUCAGGAAAUGACAGUAUGACUGACCAGUAGGAGCAAACAUCUCAUGGCAUUUGUUCAUAAGCUAUGCAAACUAUAGUUGAUCAUCAGACGGCAUGUUCUAAACUACAGGAAGCUACUUUUUUUCCUUUUUGUGUUUGUUCUCCUUUUUGUUGUAUUUUAUUUUUCUCUUUUUUAAUUUUCAUAAGUUGAAUUCUCUGACAGAAACUUCAUUUAUUUGUACAGUUGGAAAAAAAACAAGAGUGGAAGCACGAAAGGAGUGUUUUGAAAGAGCAAA